CACACAGGAAUCAAGCUCUGCGUUGAUUUAUUCCUAUAAAACAGUGUGGGACACACUCAGCACCGGGUAUGAUACACACAAUCACCGUCACAGUCCUGCGGCCCAACAAACACAUUUUGGAGGGAAACUUUAUACAAACUUAAUAAACGUAACAAAUUAACUUUAACCAACACCAAAGUUUUUUUUAAAAACACUUACACAGUUAACAUUAUAUUUUUAUGCAAAACAAAAGCUGUGAGAACUAUUUUUAACAAUAUAAACAUUAUUAAAAGUGAGAGGUAGCUUUAGCGCGCAUCUUACCAGCAGCUCAGUUAGGCAGCUUCUGCCUGGCUGCUGCAGCCAUAGACAUAAUAUAAGGGUAGACGCCGCAUUGGCCGCUCCGGCGCAGGAAAUAUGGCGGCCAUCUUAGAGCGGUAUACCCUCGUACUUUGCUGAACCAAAACAACAGAAGAUGCCUCAGUUCUGCUCGGCUUAUUCGUGUUUAAAUCUACGAACUGUUGAUGUCAGGGACCGGGGGAUAACUUUUCACAAGUUUCCAAAAGAUAAAGAGAGGAGGAAGAGGUGGGAAAUAGCUUUGAGGAGGGAUGGAUUCACUGCAAGUGAUUCAUCUGUACUAUGCAGUGAGCAUUU